UAAAUGUAUGAAUUGUUUGUCCAUAGUCACGAACUCUACUUUUAAAUUUAUCAUAUUUCAUGUGUUUGCAUUGAGGUGAGAAAAAAAUUUGGUCACGUGGUAAAUAUAAAAUGGAAUAGUUGAAAUAAAGAUGAAUGAUUCAUCUCCUUCAUCUUUUAUCAAAUUGAUCAUUGAUCAUUGAUCUUAACUUCUAAAAAUAGACAGCUGAUCUCGAUUAAUCUGGUAUAAUACAAUAUGUCGAACCCCGUGUAACAACUCAGUUUUUCCCGUCUUUGGUUUGUAACAGAAUAAUCGCAUCAUGACAAGUAUUACAUAUUUUUCUUAGUUUAUUCCCCAACGGUUGAACAGUACAUCAGUUACAAACGGAAAAUUAAGAAA
rnacentral:lncRNA from 1 species